AUUGAACGCUGGCGGCAGGCCUAACACAUGCAAGUCGAACGGUAACAGGAAGCAGCUUGCUGCUUUGCUGACGAGUGGCGGACGGGGGAGGAAUGUCUGGGAAACUGCCUGAUGGAGGGGGGUAACUACUGGAAACGGUAGCUAAUAACGCAUAACGUCGCCAGACCAAAGAGGGGGGACCUCCGGCCUCUUGCCAUCGGGAGGUCCCAGAUGGGAUUAGCUAGUAGGUGGGGUAACGGCUCACCUAGGCGACGAUCCCUAGCUGGUCUGAGAGGAUGACCAGCCACACUGGAACUGAGACACGGUCCAGACUCCUACGGGAGGCAGCAGUGGGGAAUAUUGCACAAUGGGCGCAAGCCUGAUGCAGCCAUGCCGCGUGUAUGAAGAAGGCCUUCGGGUUGUAAAGUACUUUCAGCGGGGAGGAAGGGAGUAAAGUUAAUACCUUUGCUCAUUGACGUUACCCGCAGAAGAAGCACCGGCUAACUCCGUG
rnacentral:rRNA from 1 species